UAAAAAAGCUCUUGAUUUUUGUUUUAUAGACAUCAUCCGAGUCGAACAUAAGAGUAAGGCGCAAAGUCGGUUUGAAGGGAGUCUUAUAAAAAAGCUCUUGAUUUUUGUUUUAUAGACAUCAUCCGAAUCGAACAUAAGAGUAAGGCGCAAAGUCGGUUUGAAGAAAGGAAAGAAAGAUGUGUUUCAGGGUUGAUUGCAAUCAGUGUGGCAAAUACUCAUGGAUGGGGUGCGGUAAGCAUGUAGCUUCAAUUUUUGCUAAUAUUGAGAAGGGAAAACACUGCAUGUGUAAGUCAUGGCCUGGUGUCGUGGUACCUCCUGUGGACGAAAAGUCCACCGGAAAAUCAAGCCAACAACCAGGAGGUUCUUCCUCUGCUGCGGAAACAGUGGAAACAGGUAAAUGAAGAAUUCGGAUGACGAAGGGAAGAGGAGUAAAAGGAGGCCAAAUGAGAGUAGCAGUAUGAAAAUUAUCAAAUAUGGAAUAAAAAAUUGAAGUAGUGGAACAUCUAUCUACACAAAUGAUUAUGUAAGGUUAAGGAAGACCUGGUCUGGUAUGGUAUGCUUUACCAAGUUUUUCUUUGAAAAACCUAUAAUUAGUUUCUUUCUUCAUCAAUUAUUACAAGGAACAAUGUAUGAUUCUUCUUCUUGCUUGCUAUAAACUUACACGAAUGAUGAUGAUGUUGUUGUAAACUUGGAGAUAUUCAUUUCUGUUUAGUUUUUUAAAAAUGCUAUCUCAACUUUUUAUGUUA